UGUAAAAGUACUAGAAAAGCGAGAUAUCUGCUGCAAGGUGAGUCUGCGAUGCCACCAAAGUUUCUGUCACGGCCAUCAUCGUAAUCAGUCGGGGUUGUGCUGUUUCCUCUGUGAUUGUAAUCAGAACUGCAUGGCGUCGCUGUGGAGCAUGCUGGGGCAGGCGGCGAGCGUGAUGCAGGUGGCCGGCGUCGACGGGUUCGGGAUAGCGUCGAUGAUCGCCACGACGGCGCGCGCGGCGAGCCGCAACAAGGAUCUGUGCUAGCUGCUCGCGAACAAAGUCGAGGUCGUCGGCGACCUGCUCAGGGAGCUGCAGAUCCCGGAGCUGAGGCGGCACCGGUCGACGCGGCGGCCGCUGGACGAGCUGCGCAGGGCGCUGUUCUGCGCGUACAUGCUCGUCUGGUCCUGCGGCCAGCAGCAGCGGAACACGAGCCAGAUCUACCAGCUGUGGAAGAGCGCCGACAUGGCCUCGAUGCUCCGGCAGGCCCAAGACGAGAUCGACGGCUACAUCAUCCUCAUCCCCAUGAUCACUGCCGUCGCCUCCCUCAGAGCCUGGGGUACUCAGGAGGUUCAAGACAGCGUGACAAAUGAUCCGGCACCAGCAUUAAGAACAUGAACAUGUGGGGGACCUGGUGUCGAUGAUUGAGCAAAGCGCAGGCACCGCACGCCACAACAGAAAUCAGUGCCAGCAACUCGCGCGGCAAGCCCGAAUCGCCGGCGGCGGUCAGCUAGUAGGGGGGUUGCUCGAUGCGCAGGCAAUGGAGGGCCUGGAAGAAACUCUCUUCCGUGCAUACAUGCUCGUUUGUUUCUGCGGCCAGUACAGCAGAAGCCAGCUCCGCCAAAUGUUCACGGGAGCAGAUGUGGACUCUGUGUUUCGGCUGGCACAAGACGAGAUCAUCAGCAGCCGAAUCAACCUCAUGGGGCCUAUCGCGCAUGCUCACGCCGCUCAACCGAAGGUCGUUGUUAUCAUGGCCGGCGACCACGCGCCGUCCUACCUCGUCAGCGCCAUUGCCAAGCCGCUCCACGCCGCCCCCGGCACAGGCGACGCUGAGGCAGAGGGCGUGUAAUACCCUAUAUUUUACGAGUUAUUAAGUAUCUGUAAGAGAUAUAACGUAAGCUAAAUUAACACUUGAGCUUCAUAGGUUUUAGGUAAGCUAAGCGAGAAGUUCAACAUGUCUUCAACGUGCUUAAUUUGGCGAGCAUUGCUAAAUUUUUAUUAUCAUAGCUAUCAUAAUAAUGCAUGUAUAUGUUGCUUAAUUAAAUAUUGUAAACUGGUCGGCCAUAAUGUGGAGGUGGCCUAGGAAUCGUUAAAACGUUCAUGCUGGA